GCCCCCGUAGUAUAAAACAAUACACCAGUCUUGUAAACUGGAAACGGAGACCUUUCCCUGGGGCA
rnacentral:tRNA from 1 species